ACUGACACCAGAGGAGAUCUGCAGCACUAUCAGUUCCACUGGGCAUUCAGCCCUCUACAUCCGCCUGAAGCCUCCUGCGCAAGUGAAGACCAGAGAGAAAGUGCCACAGAGAAAAGAUGCUGCUACAGAUUCUCCGUCCACAGAUCAAACCAGCCUGAACACAAGAGAUCAGUCUGACAGCAGUAGGUCUGGCAGACCUCAGGUCAGUGA